ACCAGCAGCAGCAGAUGCAUAGAUCUGACCACGGAGGAGCCGCAGGCCGGGCCCAAAGCCUUCAACGCAGAGCUCAGCGACGGGAAGCUGCCACGCUGCGGAAGUCCCAGGAAACAGCCUCAGAGUCUCAGACCAUCCGCAGAGCCGGCCCGGGGGGCCAAAGGAAGCACAGAGCGGCCGGCGGACCCCAGCGUGGCCGCACCGGAGAACCCGAAAAGAGGCGUUCCAGCCGUGAACGAACAUCUGAGCGGCUUGGAGAAGCUCCUGAAGGACGUGCCGACCUUUACCGCCCCAAACACUGGGGGAUACGGCCAGAGCGCCACCCGGUGGUUUAAAAGCACAUCCCCUCACGAAACUUGACGAGGCGCAAAGAAGAAAAGGACGAGGGGAAGACGUCGGAUUUCUUGGCUGCAGUAAAACUUAUUUUUGGAGGCACAGAGCUCGGGGAGACAUCCCGCAACAAGCGAGACCGAUGUGACCGUGAGACCGCUGUGACCGCGAGAGCGAACCGAGACAGGGCUUAAAAAAACUGAAUUAAAAUUAGAACAAAAAACCUAAAAGCAGCUGAUUUGCAACACAAGAGGAUUCUACCCCAGCGGGGCAACUCAGGACACGGAGCGGCAGACGGGAGAGGGUGGUCAGAGACUGACCUCGUCAGGCAUUAACCGGCUGGACGGCGAGGAGCGGAGCCGAGAGGUGUCUCGGACUCUGACCGCCUCUCUCACGGCAGAGACAGCCGACUCGGUCCACGCCGGCCACGUGACGCUCGCUGCAGUCUUUUCCCACGGAAGGCAUCGACUACCUCUGCAUCGCUGCACCCUGAGCUCCCUGCAUAAUGGCUCCUAGUCCUCCCCGGCCCAAAACCCCAUAAAGCUCCUCCUUGUAUUGAUCGAUCGGUCACCCUCCUGGCAUUGAGGGACUUGCGCCAAGCAUUUAGGACAGCUGGCACAUUGUUCUUCUAUGAUCCCGAAUGAACGGCGUUUACCGCGGGAUCGACGAGUCGUCGGCUGCCGUAUCCAGAACCAGAGCCGAUUGGUCGGAUUUUCUUCUUAUGGAAAACCAAAUAAAGAGAGGAAUUCUGCCGCAGAAAAUCUAUUUUGGGUAAACGUCGAGUUCUGGUCGUUCUGUACGACGCUUUCAUAUUAAAGGUGACGUUAUUUAUGUUUUUUA